ensembl:snRNA U6 U6 spliceosomal RNA
GUGCUCACUUUGGCUGCACAUACACUAAAAUUGGAACAAUACAGAGAAGAUUAGCGUGGCCCCUGCACAAGGAUAACAUGCAAAUUCAUGAAGCAUUCCAUAUAUUU